rnacentral:rRNA from 1 species
AACGAACGCUGGCGGCAGGCCUAACACAUGCAAGUCGAACGAGAAGCCACCUUCGGGUGGUGGAAAGUGGCAGACGGGUGAGUAACGCGUGGGAACGUGCCUUUCGGUUCGGGAUAACCCAGGGAAACUUGGGCUAAUACCGGAUACGCCCUCCGGGGGAAAGAUUCAUUGCCGAAAGAUCGGCCCGCGUCGGAUUAGCUAGUUGGUGGGGUAAUAGCCUACCAAGGCGACGAUCCGUAGCUGGUCUGAGAGGAUGACCAGCCACACUGGGACUGAGACACGGCCCAGACUCCUACGGGAGGCAGCAGUGGGGAACAUUGGACAAUGGGCGAAAGCCUGAUCCAGCCAUGCCGCGUGGGUGAAGAGGCCUUAGGGUUGUAAAUCCCUUUCAGCGGGGACGAUAAUGACGGUACCCGCAGAAGAAGUCCCGGCUAACUCCGUGCCAGCCGCCGCAGUAA